rnacentral:rRNA from 1 species
UACGUAGGGGGCAAGCGUUAUCCGGAAUGAUUGGGCGUAAAGCGUCUGUAGGUGGCUUUUUAAGUCCGCCGUCAAAUCCCAGGGCUCAACUCUGGACAGGCGGUGGAAACUACCAAGCUGGAGUACGGUAGGGGCAGAGGGAAUUUCCGGUGGAGCGGUGAAAUGCGGUAGAUAUCACUUGGAACGCCAAUGGUGAAAACAGGUUGCUGGGGACAUGCUGACGCUGAGACACGAAAGCCAGGGGAGCGAACAGG